rnacentral:misc_RNA from 1 species
GGAAGUAAAAGUUGUAACAAGGUCUCCGUUGGUGAACCAGCGGAGGGAUCAUUACAGAGUUGCAAAACUCCCAAACCAUUGUGAACGUUACCUAUCCCGUUGCUUCGGCGGGCGGCCCGGGCCCCGUGCCCGGCGCCCCCCGGCCCCCCGUGGGCGCCUGCCGGAGGUAAACCAAACCCUUGAAUUGUAUGGCCUCUCUGAGUCUUCUGUACUGAAUAAGUCAAAACUUUCAACAACGGAUCUCUUGGUUCUG